GAUGAACGCUGGCGGCGUGCCUAAUACAUGCAAGUCGAGCGAACAGACGAGGAGCUUGUUCCUCUGACGUUAGCGGCGGACGGGUGAGUAACACGUGGAUAACCUACCUAUAAGACUGGGAUAACUUCGGGAAACCGGAGCUAAUACCGGAUAAUAUAUUGAACCGCAUGGUUCAAUAGUGAAAGGCGGUUUUGCUGUCACUUAUAGAUGGAUCCGCGCCGCAUUAGCUAGUUGGUAAGGUAACGGCUUACCAAGGCGACGAUGCGUAGCCGACCUGAGAGGGUGAUCGGCCACACUGGAACUGAGACACGGUCCAGACUCCUACGGGAGGCAGCAGUAGGGAAUCUUCCGCAAUGGGCGAAAGCCUGACGGAGCAACGCCGCGUGAGUGAUGAAGGUCUUCGGAUCGUAAAACUCUGUUAUUAGGGAAGAACAAAUGUGUAAGUAACUAUGCACGUCUUGACGGUACCUAAUCAGAAAGCCACGGCUAACUUCGUG
rnacentral:rRNA from 1 species